rnacentral:rRNA from 1 species
UGGGGAAUAUUGGACAAUGGGGGGAACCCUGAUCCAGCCAUGCCGCGUGUGUGAAGAAGGCCUUAUGGUUGUAAAGCACUUUAAGCGAGGAGGAGGGUACUGGUAUUAAUACUACCAGGUACUGGACGUUACUCGCAGAAUAAGCACCGGCUAACUCUGUGCCAGCAGCCGCGGUAAUACAGAGGGUGCGAGCGUUAAUCGGAUUUACUGGGCGUAAAGCGUGCGUAGGCGGCUAAUUGAGUCGGAUGUGAAAUCCCCGAGCUUAACUUGGGAAUUGCAUUCGAUACUGGUUAGCUAGAGUAGGGCAGAGGGUGGUGGAAUUUCCUGUGUAGCGGUGAAAUGCGUAGAUAUAGGAAGGAACACCAGUGGCGAAGGCUACCACCUGGGCUCAUACUGACACUGAGGUGCGAAAGCGUGGGGAGCAAACAGG